GCGUGCGCGCGCUGUGACGUUCCCUACGCGGUCGGGCGUUGGGUUUCGCGGCGCUCGCCGCACUGGUUGUUCAGCACCUUCGGUCCGGUUGAGGUUGUCAAGUCGGACCAAACAGGUUGUUUCUCUGCAGUUUCCAACAUGGCAGGGAGGUUUAAUAGACAUGGAUAAGAAGUCCACUCACAGAAAUCCUGAAGAUGCCAGGGCUGGCAAAUAUGAAGGUAAACACAAACGAAAGAAAAGAAGAAAGCAAAACCAAAACCAGCACCGAUCCCGACAUAGAUCAGUGACGUCUUUUUCUUCAGAUGAUCCUAUGUUUCCUUCUUCCUCAUCAUCGUCUUCAGGAAGCCAGACAGAUUCAAGUAUUGAAGAUGCUGCCAAGGGAAAAAUUAAGAAGAAGAGAAGAGAGAAAACAAAUAAAUGGGAAAAAAGAAAGGUUAGUAAUUGUGAGUAAUAUAAGAAUAAGAUUUGGCUAUUAGAGGAUAUUGUACGUAUUAAUUAAGAAACAGAAUCUAUAAGGAAUUUGAAGAGAUAAAAGUCAAAGAUUGGUUAACAUGGUAGUUAACAUGGUGCUAAGCUUAUAGUGUCCUUUGCUGCUUUUCAAAUACUUCUCAGAAAACUAUGCAGACGGGUAAAACCUUAUAAUUACAAUUCUUUAGAUUCUUUUUAAUUUUGGUGUUAACAUAGUUAUAAAAUAGCCUAUGUGCUUUGAAAUAAAUGCAAGUAAUAGAGACAUAAAUUAAAUGAAAGGUAAAAUAGCUACACUCUUUUCUCUUUAUUUAAUUUCCCUAUGGGUAUCACUCAAGUAUUUGCUGUACAACCUUAGAUUUUUCCUCUGUGCACAUGGAAAUAAAUAAAAUAAAUAUAAAUAAAUAUGUAUAGUUUUAUGUACUAUAUAAUACACAUAUAAUUUUAUGCUAACAAAAAUAGUCUAUCAAUUUGCUUCUCUAAAUUUAUUUCAUAUAAUAGUUUAUGAACUAUGUGUAACAUAUAUAAAACAGACAAUAGUAAAGCAUCAUGAACCUAUUUAACUAGAACAUUACCAAUUAUGAUUAUCUUUCAGUAUUUUUCUUCCUCCUUCUAUUCACUUGCCUUCGCAUUAAAAGUAAUAUCCUAAA
ensembl:lncRNA LINC00467 long intergenic non-protein coding RNA 467